GGUUUCUCGCCUUGAAUUUCCCAUCCCCGACUCGGGAGCCUUGGUGUAAAGGUUGGUCUUCAGCACACCCUCCCUGCCAUAGCCCAGCGGUGGGCCCCCCAGGCAGGCCCCGCCUGCUGCCUUCCCCCUCCGGUUGGCCACCACGAAGGGGUUCUCGCUGAAGAGGAUGGGCUGGGAGUCAAUCAUGCACUCUGGCUCUGGUGUCUCCGGCUCCUGGGGUGGGGAGCAAUGGGUGGGAUCCCGUUCGUCCAGAGGGGGCUUUUCUGCCCCGCACGUGCGUGGGCAAGGCGACGUGGGGUCCUGGGGAGGGCCAGGCUCACAUCUGGUGCUCAGGGAUGCAGUUGGUGCUGAGGAGCAGUCUUGGCUGUCCUGUGCCACCGGCAGGGACAGCAUAGCGCGGUCGCUCCCUGUGCUGGAGGUUGCCCUACCACAAUGAACAGGCUUUUCUCCUUUAGUACCAUAAAAGAGUGUUGGUUACCCCACCAAAGCCUUCAGCAGCAAAGCGGGGAUGAUGAGGGAACAAUGCUGCAGCCUCCUCCUCCUCCCAGCUGCUGGUGGUGCAGCAGAAAGACCCUUUCAGCUCAGAGCACAUUCCCCAAUUCCUGUGUCAAGGCAG
rnacentral:lncRNA from 1 species